rnacentral:rRNA from 1 species
CCUACGGGCGGCUGCAGUGGGGAAUAUUGGACAAUGGGGGCAACCCUGAUCCAGCCAUGCCGCGUGUGUGAAGAAGGCCCUCGGGUUGUAAGGCACUUUCAGUGAGGAAGAACGCCUGGUGGUUAAUACCCAUCAGGAAAGACAUCACUCACAGAAGAAGCACCGGCUAACUCCGUGCCAGCAGCCGCGGUAAUACGGAGGGUGCGAGCGUUAAUCGGAAUUACUGGGCGUAAAGCGCGCGUAGGUGGCUUGAUAAGCCGGUUGUGAAAGCCCCGGGCUCAACCUGGGAACGGCAUCCGGAACUGUCAAGCUAGAGUGCAGGAGAGGAAGGUAGAAUUCCCGGUGUAGCGGUGAAAUGCGUAGAGAUCGGGAGGAAUACCAGUGGCGAAGGCGGCCUUCUGGACUGACACUGACACUGAGGUGCGAAAGCGUGGGUAGCAAACAGGAUUAGAUACCCCUGUAGUC